UGUUUGUGUGUGUGUGUCCGAAUGUCUGCCAUCUACUGUUGCAAUAAACGAUAGUGAAAACCAUGUGUAACUUGCUUUGAAUGGAAAGGUGCCUGCAGGAGAUAUUCCAGAACCUGAACUAAUGCAAAACAUACGUUCUUAGAAAACGCUCAACUCAUUAACUACAGAUGUAUUCAUAAACGCAGCCCUAUAAACCCUCUAGAAAAUAUACAUGUAUGAUUUAUUGAUUUAAUGAUAUGGACUUUAUUGAUUUGCAUAUGACUGUUUUGUACCACAGCUAGUUGUCUAUAGUUGACUAAGGAAGUCUUGUCUGAGACAGAACUGUAGCGUAGAGCAGCUUGAUGCACAAGGACACCCACUGGACAGGAUGCUGGUUGACUAGCUACAGAUGUAGGAUCUUCAUUUGAGCCAGUUUGCUACAGCAGGAAAAUAGUCCUCCAUCAACAGGAAAUGUGAAUUAUUAUGUGGAUUAUAAUUAUUGAGCAAUUUUGUAAUGGUUGAUAUCUUUUUCAUAAAGGAAAAUCAAGUCUGAAAGUGGGAAUUACAAACUUCAGAUGCCUUUUUAAACCUCAAAUACUCUACAAGUUUAUAAUGUCCUGCGUUGCAGGAAAGUUCACCUGCAGCAGGGAGAUCAAAUUAAGAUUGUACAUCUGUACAGGUUGUCUGACUGCUGUGACGUCCGUCUCUGUGUCAGUGUGUGAUGAGUCUGUACAGGUUGUCUGACUGCUGUGUCUCUCCUGUUCUAGCUGACGUCCGUCUCUGUGUCAGUGUGUGAUGAGUCUGUACAGGUUGUCUGACUGCUGUGUCUCUCCUGUUCUAGCUGACGUCCGUCUCUGUGUCAGUGUGUGAUGAGUCUGUACAGGUUGUCUGACUGCUGUGUCUCUCCU